ensembl:lincRNA
AUUACCCUCACCGCAGUCCCUGCCGUGCCACAGACAUGCCCUGCUCAAGGACAUCCUUGGGACUGCAUCUGCUUCUGACAUCCCCCUUCACCCUGCUGGGUAACUCUGAGGCUUACAAACAGGAACAAAGCCAGAGGCCAGGGCUGCCAGGAUUCACCUGUAUUCUGCAACUCCAAGACAUUCACACACAAAACUAGACACAGUUUGGAAGAGCUGCCCUCAGGAAGACAUAACAAUGUCAGAGCAAAGGGUGAGCUGAAAAGACACAGCCUUCAGUGAUCCCGGGUCAGAUAAAGGGAGGAGGAAGAGGUAGGAAAUUGUGGCAGAUGAAAAUGUGCAUUUCUACUGGAAUGUUGUCCUGAGAGUUGUGAGUGUGUGGAAGAGAGAUUCCCUGAGGAUCUAUUAUGUGGAAUCCUUGUGGGAAUCGUGUGGAGCCGGGACCAGUGCAAUAGCGUUUGAUGGUAUGUGACUGAGAGUGAACUCUACCAAGAGACUGUCACUUUGCGGGAGCGGGGGGGCCGGGGGGGUGGAGCACUGACUGGGAUGAGGGAGUGAGUGCAUGAGUGCAAGGGGCUGAUAUUAUAGAUCUGUCUUCAUGAGUCUGUGUGUAAGAGGGGAGCACAGCGGUGCAUGUACGGUGAGUGAGAAUGUGGGAGGUAUGUGUGGCAUGGGGGGCUGCAUGUCUGUGUGACUAUGUGUGUGAGUGUGUGUGUAAGAAAUCUGUGACUGGGUGUCGAUCUGUGAGUAUGUGAGUGGCUUUGUGUGCACGUGUGGGUUUGUCCGACACAGCAGUGACUGUUUAAGUGCCCGUGGGUCUUUCCAUGUGUGUCAGAGGGGAUCCUGAACUGGUGGCCCUGCCAACUGUGAGUUACCUGGAACUCAUCUCUGAGCAUUAACGAGAGCAGAGCGAGGGGCUCCUUAGAUGCCUCUUUUCAAGAAGAGUGAGAGAAUGUGGCCUCAGGCCAGGCUGGAGGGCACCGCGUCUCCAGUCUGGGUCUACACGCAGGGCCGCUCACUCCACCUCGGGUCUCCUCCCCAAGCCAGGCCUUUCCUCUGCCUCACAGGAGGAGGUCCUGUACACACGGGAUGUGUCCUUGACUGUUGGAUCUCCAUUGACAAUCAAAGGGAAACCUGCAGUCUCUUUCAGGAAUCCAAAGUGCAGGUGGAUUCCCACACUGGGCCUGAUGAGAACUCAGACAGCCCCUUUCAUUUUGGAGUGCCCUGUGGCCAAGCUGUGAAGAUAAACAGCCAUCAAGACGGGAGCUCAAACUGUGAGGUGGAAUCCUCCAAAAGCCCUGUGAGGACGGCCAGCCGCCUGUCCUGCACGGCCUGUGCUGCCAAAUGAGGACAGGUAAGUGUGCCGGGACCACCCCUCCCACGGCCUCCACAGGCUCUCCUAGAGGAACACUGCUGUCCCCCAGCCCCGCCCGAGGUGCCCGGCACCCACCUCCCGUCAUCGCCCCUGCCCCGUUCAUCACAGAGCACCCUCUGCUGCUACCGCCAUCCUCAGGUAUUCUCCCAGAUCUAACCGGGCUAAGAUCAGUUUACGUGCCCUUUUGCUCCAGACGCAGAAUUGGCUCUGACUUCACCCACAGGUAUCAUUUCUACCCAUGCCGUUAUUAUUUGAAUUUUGGGGUCACUCAGUAGUUAAAAUAUGCAUAUGAGUAAUUAUAAUCCAUCCAAUACAACUCUUUCUCUCUCAUUAAAGGCCUCUGAGUUUGUUCACUAUGUCUGAUCAGUUUUCUCCCAAUGUGGAUAGCUAGGCAAAAAAAUAUAGAAACAAAAAGGAGGCCUAGCACCACAGCACAUGAUGGACCGACCACCCUGGCACCAAGGGGCAAACAUUUGGACAUAGCAAAAGAUCUGUAAUCAAAACAGGAAACGUCAGAAGAAAUGUUCACAUAUUGAGGUAUGCGGAAGUCAUUCUGGCUUCUACACUGUACAUCUGCUUUAAACCAUUAAGGAAAAAAUACAUUUAGAAAUCAAAACAAAGCUGGAUAGCCCUUGUGGACAUGGUUGCAGACAAAUGCCUGUUAUUACUGUGAACUUGAGUUUUCUGAAGUGUAUCAGGAUCAAGGAUACCGCCAUCAAUUCUCAAAACAAUAUCUGCCAGCAGCUGCCCAACUAUAGCAUUAGAGUCUCAAGGUAAAAAUAACAUCUUUCUCUUACUUAAGAAGAGUAGUAACAGGACUUCCCUGGUGGCUCAGUGGGAAUCCGCCUGCCAAUGUAAGGGACUCGGAUUCGAUUCCUGGUCCUGGAAGAUUCUACAUGCCAUGGGGCAACUAAGCCCGGGUGCCACACUACUGAGCCUGCCCUCUGCAGCCAAGCUCUGCAACGAGAGAGCAGCCCUCGCUCACUGCAACUAGAGAGAGCCCAAGAGCCACAGUGAAGGCCCAGCACAGCCAAAAAUACAUAAAAUAAACAAAAACAGUAGUAACAAAAGAUAGAGCUUAAGCUAUAGCCUCUCAGAAUAAACCACUAGAUUUUGUAUCAUGAAUAGUGCUAGACAAUUGCUUUAGAUUAGAUUUUAGCAGGAAAAGAACAUGUAUGUGCAGUAGUCGUACGUGUUUUAUAUCUUAAUGGCCAGAUUACAAAGUUAGACCUACUUAGAUAAAAUUAGACAGCUGCCUAUCAGGCUUAAAACAAGUCUCCCCAGAAGUGCCCAGGCCAGCCUGUUCUUCAGGAUUCUUCUCCUUCUUUCCUCAGGGAAUGAGAUCUGCUUCCCGAAACUUAUUAAAUUUCCAGUCGUCCCUCUUCCACUUACUCAUAAUUGGGUCUGUGGACCAAGGGACUAAAAACCUUAAACCAUGAAAGACUGCGAUCCAGUACUUGGAACACGGAAGAUCCCAAAGCAGGGUCAAUUCCUCAGACUGAGGUAGGAUGAUGAUCUGUUUCAGCAAGAAUUAGCUAACGCAAGUGUUGUCUUGUUUCCUCAAAGAUUCAGGGGAAGUUAAAACAGGAGCAGGGAUUGAAACCAAAUUCCUCUAAAACCAAGUCUCCUUACCAAGUUUCUGAUUAUUCUCUCUAUUCAAAACUUCUUGUCCCCUUGGACCGCAAUGCUGUGCUAACUGACCUGGCACGACCAAGUAAGUAAUUAAAAACAAAACAAAACAAAACAAAAACAAAGAAAGAGGGACUUCCCUAGAGAUCCAGUGGUUAACACUCUGAGCUUCCAUUGCAGGGAGAAUGGGUUCAAUCCUUGAUCAGGAAACUAAGGUUCCACAUGCCAUAUGGCAUGACAAAAUAUAAAUAUAAAUAAAUAAAUAAAUAAAUAUAUAUACAUAUAUAUAUAUUUUUUUUUUUUUUUUAAGAAAAAGGAAAGGAAACUCUUCCUGAGGAAAAGGGAAAGUUUCGAGGAGCUGGUAUAAACAAAAAGUCCAUUGGAGGAAACUGAGAGUUUAAAGUACAGUGUAUUUUCAUUGGCUGAGCUGUUUCCAGGCAGAGAGAAAAUCUUUCUUCUUCCUGCUGGGGGUCGUAAAGUAAGGUCACUUUUGCCAGAGAGCUGAGGUACAUCUCUUCCUGCUGGGAUCUGUGAUGACAGCCAGUGGCACGUGGGUAAGCGCUCCCUCUUCUGGCUUCCCAACUUCAUUUUAGUGAGGUUUUCCCUUGAUUAAUUCUCACAAGAAAAAAUCAUAGAAAGAAUGCCUAUGUACCUACUUCCCACUUUAACUAUGAAUAUUCUUGUUUCAUUAUUCCUCCCACUUAUGGGGGGGGAUUUUAAAAUAAAUCUCAGUCAUACUAAAUUUUUCAUAUAAAUACUCCAGAAUUUCUCUCUAACUGAUAAAGACUUUGAAAACAUAAUCACAGCUACCACUACAAUGUUCCAGAAAACUCCCUGGAUAUCAUCUGAUGCACAGAUUACAUCUGAAUUCUCCAACAGAAUCUGAAGUGUACUUUUUCAAUCUAGGGAAGAUAUCUUUCAAAGGCAAUGGGGAAACCUUGACUUUUUCAGAAAAGGUCAUCAGUAACAAACCCCUUCUAGAGAAAUGUUACAGUACAUCCUUCAGGCAGAAGGAAAAGGAUACCAGUUGGAAAUCUGGAGUUACACAAAAGAAUGAAGAACAAUGGAAAUGGGUGUUACAUUGGAAAAUAUAAUUGUGAAAGAGAAAUUAUAACAAUGCAUUGCAGAGCUUAUAACAUAUAAAAAUAAAGUGACAGGCUGAGAUAGCACUGGGAAGUUGCUGUAUAACACAGGGAACUCAGCUCGGAGCUCUGUGAUGACCUAGAGGGACGGGGUGCACAGGGGGAGAGGCUCAGAAGGGAGGGAGGGGCUUCUGUGUAUACUUGGGACUGAUUCACGUUGUUGCACAGCAGAAACCAACACAACACUGUGAAGCAAUUAUCCUCCAACUACAAAGAAAAAACAAAAAUAAAACACAUGGGAAUGAGCAUAUGUUAGAGGAGAGGAAUGACAAUAUGCUAUUAUACUGCUUAUAAGGUGGUAUAUCAUUUGAGGUAGAUUGUGUACAUUAAACAUGUACACUAAAAAUCCUGAAGAACCACUAAAAUGACAAAAUAAAGAUUUUUAGCAAAACAGCCAACCAAGAAGAUAAAAUGAUAAUCAAACUUGAUAAUUUAAAAGAUGGCAUGUUGAUGUAUGGCAAAACCAAUACAAUAUUGUAAAGUAAUUAACCUCCAAUUAAAAUAAAUAAAUUUAUAUUAAAAAUAAAAUAACAAAAUAAUCUUUAUUUAAAAAAACACAAUAAAAGAUUGCAGAGAAAAAGGGAAGGUGGGAACAAUAGCUGAGACAAAUAGAAAGCAAGUAGCAAUAUGUUAGACUCAAUAUUUGACAAUAUCAAUAACCCAAUUAAAAGUAGAUUUAAAUUAAACUGGAUUUCCACCAUAAUCUGACUAAAGCCACAUGAUACCCAUAUGAGUGCAAUAAACCUGCAAAACUGGGAGAAAUAAUAAAUCAUUGCUUUAAACCAAUGUAUUCUCAGGAGAUUUCUUAUUCUGCAAUGAGUAACUGGAACAUCAAAACCAGAGUCUGGUCACUGCAUCCAUGUGUAUAACUGUACUUGUUCUAACAAUAAAUUCUGUCUUCCUCAGUCUAAAACGCUGACAACUCAUUUCCAAACAGAAAGACCUAGGUUUCUGACCACAAAAACUGGGGAAAAAAAAGCUUGUAAUUGUUUGGAUACAAGAAAAAGAUUCUUUAAGG